rnacentral:lncRNA from 1 species
UCCACCUCUACUAUCUUCUCACCAUCCAUUUCAAGUUGUAGGCUUUGAAAUCACUUGAUUUAUAAGAUUGUGAGAUUAAAUUUUAUAUCAACAAAUGCCACAUCACCUUUUGACAGACCUAUAUUAGUGCUCCAACACCAUCUAGCUACUUUACACAUAUUGAUCAUACAACAGGAUUAUCAAACAAGUAUGAUUGUGCUUCUACUAAUGCUUUCCUAGAUUCAGAUUUGAUAAUAAGAUGUCAUAAGUUAUAAGUAAGAAAUGGAUAUUCUACCCAUUUCUGGUUUGAUCAAUGGUCUCCAUCAGGCAAACUGAUGGACAUCAUAGGAGCAUAGGGAGUUAUUGACAAGGGGAUUCCAGCACACACAACUUUGGGGCAUGUUCUCGAUAUUCUGAUAAAAACACUUUUGCAAGUCAAUAAGAUCAAUUAAUCUCUUGGUGAUAUUUUAGCAUAAGAGGAACAAUCCAAAUGGGAUAAGGUUCAAUCAGUAAGAAUUUGUAUAAUACUUCUUAAUCCUAGCAAGCAAGACGUUUUGGUUUUUCAACUAAUGUCUAAGUGAUUUAAAUUAAAUACAAAUAAAUAAGGAAACUAAACAAAGCAAUUAACUAAGCAAGAUUAACAAUAAUAAAAAGAUGAAUCAUUGGGUGAGAUCAUUCACUUUGCUAAACUCUAGAUAUGAUCUAUGAUGCUAAAACAAUCAAUUACUUGCAUAAUCUAGAUCAUUAAUUUAGAGUAAUUCACACUCAUGAAACUAAUAUUUUUGCUAAUUACUUAAUCAAGAACAAACGAUCAUUUGUGAAAAAGCAAUUAUCAAAAAUUAAUAACAGAUCAAAUGACUAAAUAAACACCUUAUACAAUCAUUCUCAUGAGUUAAGCAUGCAAAUCCUUUAUCUAAAUUCAUUGGAGAAAUUCAUCAAACACCUUAUGGGUUGUGAAAUUUCCUAAAAGACUAAGAUUUAUCUAUCUCAAGCAAAUCUGACAUAAAGUCACUUAGAUAAAUAAGAAAACAAGAAUCUAAAACCUAGAAAACAUAGAUCAACCCUGAAAUCACCUUAAUCUAUCUCACACAUGGAUUCAAAAGAUAAACUACUCACUAAUCAUGUUUAACUAAACAAAUCUGAUGAAAGAUAUGUUAAGUAUCAUGAUUAUUAAUGAUUAAGAAAAGAUAAAAAGAAGAUAGAUUAGAGUAAAUUAAAUAAGAUUCAAACUUGCACUGAACUCAAUAAAAGAUCUGUUUACAAAUUUUAGAUACCAAAAAAAAAAAAAAUUUACAAAGGGAAGAGAUGUGUGCUCUAUAACUAGGCCUAGGGUAUUUAUAGGUGGUGGUCCACGUUCAGGUCUUGGGCUCCAUACCGGUCACAUUCUGACUGGUAUGAGUGUUCUCUUUGGGUGUCUUGGUGAUGUGGUCGUGUGUUGAGGGUUGUCAAGUUUUACCCUAAAUGAAAUCAAUAGCCGCAAGUGCACAGCUGAUCGAUUGUAGUACUUAGGGAUCGAAUCCACAGGGAAGGAUGAUCUUUCCUGCAAAAGCCUACGAAAGAAAUAUGAAGUAAGGAAGUCUAUAACCAAACGGUUUUGUGGGGGUUUUGGUGGUGUGUUUAAAACGUAAAAAUGAAAUUUAAAAAGAAACAACAGGAAUUAAAAUGACCUAAUAACUAAACUUAAUGAAAACGGGUAAAAACGGGAAAAACGGCAAACCUAAUUGCUUAAAUGAAAAUCGAUUGAAAGGGAAUGAAAAUAGUAAACUAAAGCUUGAAAUAAAAUGGUGUGGAUCUAUAAGAAAAGAGGCGCUGGGGUUCAGGGAAGUUUUCUCAGGUGUACGAACGAUUCAAAACAUUGCUAGAGAGUAAAUUUGAUAAGAUCUUAGCUUAAACUUUUCGAACUGGAGUCACGGACGUAUGAAUACGCCACUGUCGUGAUCAUAGACAACUAUCUCUCUCAACCCUGACCAGUAGGUUUCCACUCUGGUCCUGGAAAAGAAGAGAUGCAUUAUGUUUAAGACUCGUCAGCAUUCACAAAUCUCUCAUAGGUAGGUUUCCACUCCUAUGUUUGUUUUGCUCUCCCAAACUAGAUCUGACACCGGAUGAACACUUUCGUGUCACCAAUCAUCUGGAUCAGAUUGUAGUUCAUGACGCAACUCUCAUGCAGUAAAAACGAAUUCAGAAGAAAAAGUUCUAAGAUUCGGCUCAAAAGCUCAUGGAAUCCUCACCGAACAUAUAAAUCCCCAUCGAAAAUCCCUUAGUCCCAACAAUAAAACUACUCAGACAUGAUGAACGAAAUCAAAAACAUACAGUAAAACCUCUAUAAAUUAAUAAUGUCGGGACCAUAAUAUUUUAUUAGUGUAUCGUGAUAUUAAUUUAUCUAUAAAUUAAUAAUUAUUAAUUUAUUGUAUAAAUUAGAUAAUGUUUGUGUACUUAAUUAAUGUACAUUUUUAAUUCCUUAAUUUUUUAUACUAAUAUUCCAUAUUUUUAUGUUAAUAUAUGAAGCAGUUUUCUUCAAUUUAUGUUAGUAUUCCAUUUUUUUAUUUCUUAAAUUUUUCCUUGACAUUCAUGAACUUGAGGUUUUGAUUAAUUAUCUCGGUUAUCGGAACAAAAUGGAUGUUAAUACCAUACUCGACUAUCCUGCUGAAAACGAUACAUGCUCAGAAGUUCAGAGUUUAGAAGAGAUUGUGGCUACUGUCCUUAAUGUUGAUGAUGAAGUUGAAGAUGAUGUUAUGGAAUCUUGGUCAAGAAAUUAAUGUGACUUGUGAAGUACAGCAAUUAUUAGGAAACAAUCGAGUUAGAGCUGUAGCUAUGAGUGCGACAGAGGGUUUAAAGAGAGGAAUGGACGUGGUUGAUAUGGGAAAUCCUCUAAGUGUUCCAGUCGGCGGAGCGACUCUAGGACGAAUUUUCAACGUGCUUGGGGAACCUGUUGAUAAUUUAGGGCCUGUCGAUACUCGCACAACAUCUCCUAUCCAUAAAUCCGCGCCUGCUUUUAUCCAAUUAGAUACAAAAUUAUCUAUUUAGAGCAGCCGGACGGACUAUUCUAGUGAGUCUAGUGACUACUAGAGUAGAGUUGAGUCAAAAGGUAUGGUAUAGCAGCCUUUCCGAGCGAGCCUCUGGGAUCUCCUGUAAACCCCCAUGAUGUGGUAAAGGGAGGAUAUUAGGGGAAGCAGUGAGUGGAGAUUCCCCUGCGGAGAGCCGGAUGAGGGGAGACCUUCACGUCCGGUC